UGUCCGGAUUUAUUGGGCGUAAAGAGCGUGUAGGCGGCCAUGUAGGUCCGGUGUGAAAACUCGAGGCUUAACCUCGAGAUGUCAUCGGAAACCAUUUGGCUAGAGUCCGGAAGAGGAGAGUGGAAUUCCUGGUGUAGCGGUGAAAUGCGCAGAUAUCAGGAAGAACACCGAUGGCGAAGGCAGCUCUCUGGGACGGUACUGACGCUGAGGCGCGAAAGCGUGGGGAUCAAACAGG
rnacentral:rRNA from 1 species